CUAUUGACCCGCGCUAUCGCGGCCGGUACCCUUAAAAAGUACGGUCGAGGAAAGUCCGGACAGCAUAGAGCAGCUUACCGGUGAAAUGCCGGGGAUUCUUGAUAAAAGAAUCACAGCCAGCACCACAGAAAAUAACCGCCUUAUGGCCUAAGUGGCCUGAGGUAAGGGUGAAAAUGUACGGUAAGAGCGUACGGGAGAGGCUAGUAAUAGCGUCUUUGGGUAAGCCUUAAGCGCUGCAAUGUCACAUAUAGUCGGGGUUGAAAGCGGCUCGUUUGAUGUCCUGUUUACAGGGCAACCCGAUGGGGUAGGCAGCUACAUCAAAACAGUAAUGUUUUGGGCAGAUAAAUGAUAGUGUAGAAACAGAAUCCGGCUUACGAGGUUGAUAGCAUU
rnacentral:RNase_P_RNA from 1 species